rnacentral:rRNA from 1 species
GCAAGUCGAGGGGUAACAGGAGAGCUUGCUCUUGCUGACGACCGGCGCACGGGUGCGUAACGCGUAUACAAUCUACCUUAUACUGGAGAAUAGCCCGAAGAAAUUCGGAUUAAUGCUCCAUAACAUUGUUUUGUCGCAUGGCAGAACACUUAAAGCUCCGGCGGUAUAAGAUGAGUAUGCGUCCUAUUAGCUUGUUGGUGAGGUAAAAGCUCACCAAGGCAACGAUAGGUAGGGGCCCUGAGAGGGGGAUC